ACGCGCGUCCUCGCCAUGCCGUGCCGCCUCCUCUUUCCUCUGCUGCUGCUGCUCGCCCGCUACGCACGCACCGGCACCGCCCGGCCGUGCCGUUGCUUGCCCCCGCCUCCCAGCGUCGCGCCAUGGCCGUCGUGGCCACGAGCAAAGCAGAGCCAUGGUUGCCGCCCGACCUCCACGCCGAGCCGUCAACUGAGCUCAUCCCUCCCUCCACCAACCCCCAAAACUGCUUGACCUCGGCUCCCGGAAGCUCCUUGGCCUCUCCUCCGCCCGCCCCGGCCACCGGAGUUCAUCGGAGUGAGCACAGUACCGCUACCGGCCGCCGCCCGCCGUGGAACCGCCGCCACGGACCACCUCCUCGCGCUCCAAGGCCACCUACAGGGACUCCAGACAGCAAUAGAAAGAACCCCAGGGUGUUUUCUGCGAAGUCCAUGACUCAGGUGAAUAGUGCUGCGAAGGGUUGUUUUGCAAUAAUUGGCUGAAACUUUGAAAAAUCAUAGUAAAUCAUAGAAAAAUCAGAAAAAUGCAAACUAAAAUUUGUUGGAUUCCUUGUCCUAAGAUCUACAACUUUCCUUACAGGUUGAUCUUCAGUUUCUAAAUAGUUUUUGCUCUAGUUUAAAUGAUAGUUUAAGUGGUUGCAAGCUUUGAAAAUGCAUAGUAAAUAGUAGAAAAAUGGUAAAAAUGUAAAACCAGUUGGAUUAGCUUUGAUUUGGCAUGUAGAACUUAGGAAAAAUAUUUAACCUGCUGUUUGUUUAAUAUUUUCAUGAUGUAUUGAUUUAAUCAUAGAUAAUGCUAGUUUCAACUUAUUUAUUUAAUAUCUACAGUUCUAGAUGUUGAAAAAUUAUAACAUUUAUGCAGUAGCUUAUUCUUUGCAUGUUUAGUUCACUGUAAAAAUUUCAUGUCCGAAAGCUAUGUACAUGUGUGUAAAUCUAUUUUUGUUCAGUUUGUCUUGUUGAGGAUAAAAUAAAUACUUUAUGUUAUCAAAAAAAUGUUGGUUAAUUAUUUUUACACUCCUUCUCAGUAGCAUAUCAUGUUGGUAAAUUUUGGUUACAAGUUUAAAGCUGUAAGUCAUGUUUCUGCUUUUGAUUAGUUGCUAGCCAAUCUUUUUCUGCAGGAUUAAUUUCAAUAAUUCAUAUUGAUCUUGCAUAAUUGAAGUUAAUUCCUAAGAUCAGAUUGUGGGUUACUUUCAUGUCACUUGGUUUUAUGUGCUUUUUAGUUGAAUAAAAAUCUCUAGUUAUCCGUCUUGCUCUGUGUAUUUGCUUUGUCGUUCUAAGCAAGUUUAGUAAUACUUUUUGAAGGAAACACUUCAGGCUAAAAUAAAUUGAAUGAAUUCUUGUAUUGCAACCCCAA